rnacentral:lncRNA from 1 species
UCCUUUCCUGGAUUUUUUUUUUCCAAAUCGAAUCCCCGACGCCCCCAACUCGAGCCGCUCCUCUCCAGCCUCCGGCGACCCGUUCCCGGCGGGCUUCGGCCGCCCCUCUCCCACUCCGGCAACCCGUCCCCGGUAGCCGAGGGGUGGGCCAGUCCGCGGCGCACGGGGCGGCGUCCGUUCGUGGCGCUUGCCCGCGGCGGCGCACGGAGCGGCGCCCGUCCACGGCGGUGACGAGGCAUGCGCUAGUACGCGGCGCACGGGGCGGCGCCAGCCCGCGGCGGCGCACGAAGCUGCGACGAGGGGUGCGCCAGUCCGCGGCGCACGGGAUGACUCCCGUUCACGUCGCCUGCCCGCGGCGGCGCACGGAACUGCGUCCGUCCGUGGCGCUCGCGGCGGCGAGGAGGGUGCGCCCGUCCGCGUUGCACGGGGCGGCGCCGAGGGGUGCGCCGCGACGGCAGCAGCCGCUCGUGGUGGGCCGGCAGGACUCGCUGCUGGUAGAUAGGCCGGUUUGCGCCCGCUCCCAAAGUAGGAGAUGCAAAUGGAUCUUCCACGAUGCUUGAGCGAGAUUUUCUCCGAUGACCACGACGAUCUGUCAUGACUACCUGAUGUGUAAGGUUCCUGCCGUUUCCCCCAUAGGGUUGUAGGCUCGAUUGGCGACUGUAUGCUAUGUUUAUCGGCAAAAUUGGCUGCUAAUUGUACCCUGUGUUCAUUGGCAAAAUUGGCUGCUACGUGUGUAGGUUACGUAGUGUGUUGUUCAGCUGUGACAGUUUUAAGUGUGUGAUGUAAAGGGAUAGGCUGCAAUGUUGAUCCGAAGGGGCAGGGUAUACAUGUCUUUUAUAAAUGUGCUCAUACUCGUUUGAUGAGAGUAUAUUAUUAUAUAAGGUACAGUGUUCAACAGCUAAUUGUCAAUGAAUUGUGGUGUCUAUUAGAGACAUCUUUAGUGGUUUGUGACAAAAGCCAUCUUUUUUUCAAUGUCGAGCCGCCAAUUUUACCCUAAAUAAAAGAAAGAAACUGGCCUGGA